rnacentral:rRNA from 1 species
GACGAACCGUCCAAACGUUAUUCGGAAUCACUGGGCUUACAGAGUUCGUAGGCGGUCUGGAAAGUUGGGUGUGAAAUCCCUCGGCUCAACCGAGGAACUGCGCUCAAAACUACCCGACUCGAGGGAGAUAGAGGAAAGCGGAACUGAUGGUGGAGCGGUGAAAUGCGUUGAUAUCAUCAGGAACACCGGUGGCGAAGGCGGCUUUCUGGGUCUUACCUGACGCUGAGGAGCGAAAGCGUGGGGAGCGAACAGG